rnacentral:rRNA from 1 species
UACGUAGGUGGCAAGCGUUGUCCGGAUUUACUGGGCGUAAAGAGCGCGCAGGCGGUCGGAUUAGUCGCGUGUGAAAGCCCCCGGCUCAACUGGGGAGGGUCACGCGAUACUGUUCGACUCGAAGGCAGGAGAGGGAAGUGGAAUUCCCGGUGUAGCGGUGAAAUGCGUAGAUAUCGGAAGGAACACCAGUGGCGAAAGCGGCUUCCUGGUCCAGCACCGACGUUCAGGCACGAAAGCGUGGGGAGCAAACAGG